rfam:Picea glauca, whole genome shotgun sequence.
GGAUGUGAUCAUACCAGUGUUAAUGCACCAGAUCCCAUCAUAACUUCGCAGUUAAGCAUGCUUGGGCUAGAGUAGUAUUGGGAUGGGUGACCUUUUUGCACAACUCUGCGGGGAGGGAGUGUCACACUGA